GCGGGCGUGGUGGAAUUGGUAGACACGCUAGAUUCAGGUUCUAGUGGGCGAAAGCCCGUGGGGGUUCGAGUCCCUCCGCCCGCACCA
rnacentral:tRNA from 6 species